AGCCCUUGGAAAAAUCAAAGGUGCAACCUGCCCAAUGACUUUUAAUUCAAUAAAAGUAAAAUUUUUAGAAAAAAGUUUAAAGGACGCAGUAUCUUGACUGUGGUAAUGUAGCAUAAUCACUCGCCAUUUAAUUGAUGGAUAGUAUGAAUGGUUUAACGAAUAUCACACUGUCUUUAAUGAAAAAUUCAUGAAAUUAAAACAAUAGUAAAGAUGCUAUUUAAAACUGUAAGACGAAAAGACCCUAUAGAGCUUAACUACAUUCUCUUUUACAUAAAUCAGAAUAAAAAAACUCUUUAAAAAAAGAGAAAGGUAGUUUAGUUGGGGCGACUACCUUCUAAAACAAACGAAGGCAAGCAAUGUUAAUGACACACUUAUUGUAUAAUAAAUAAAUUUAACAAUUACGAAAGUAGGCCAUAAUGACCCAUUAAACCUAAGUAUUAAGUUUAAUGAUCAAUAAAUAAAAGCUACCUUAGGGAUAACAGGAUAAUUUUGUUUUAGAGAUCUUAUCGAAAACAAAGUUUGUCACCUCUAUGUUGAAUUGAGAUAUCCUGAUGAUGCAGAAGUUAUCAAAGGUAGGUCUGUUCGACCUUUAAAAUCUU
rnacentral:rRNA from 1 species